AGGAAAAAAAGUUGCGCAGCCUUUUGAAAAAGGGACGAUCCCUUUUGUUUUUUUCUGGAGAAAUCAACACCAAAAGAAACGAUCCCACCCCCCUUUGGAUUGUCUUCUUCACGAAACCACCCUGCCCCUCUCCCAGUCUUUAUCCUUCGAACACGACCCCCCCUCCAUCGGUCUGGAAUUCUUUUUCUCCAAAUCCUCUCACCAACCUAACGACCGGAGGGACAAAGAAAAACAGAGCAAUUGCAGUUUCUUCAUCUCCUCUCGCCCACCAGUGGCGAACUCGCCGAAACAUACACAUACAACUUCCUUCUUGCUUCUUCUUCAGCAACCAAGCCAAAGUCAUCGCUCCGACCCAUGAACGUUAAUCGUCAAACGACCCCAUCUCUGCCUGAAACUCACCGGAAAAACGAGCUCCACCAGCUCGUCGGACUAACGAGUUCCAGAUGAGACCCCUUCCUCAAGCGACCAAACCAGCUUCUUCAUCACCGGAAGUGGCCAGGAGUCUGAUGACAACCUUCGAGCUCUAGAACUAACGAACAAAGGCGCUGAAAACAGUGAGGAGUCGCAAAACUCAUUUAACACCCUUUUCCGGCGAGUCUCGAGUUUUUGGUUGAGCAUCAAUGACUGAGUAUCAACGACCGUUUCCCUUGGUUCCUUGUCGAAGUCCGUUCACUAGUUCUAUUUAGUUAAAAGGUCUGAUAGUUGUUCUUCGAGUUGAAAUUUAGAGUUGUUCGUUGUUGAUUGCCGGAUUUGUUGGCUGUUGUUGGCUGAGCUUCGAUUUCAAGUAGUGGGAUGCCUGUUCCCAUCAUAUUUGCCCAAUUGCAUUGAGUCGCCUGAAUUUGUUAUUACUAAUUGCUUCCUGGCUUCACUGCAAUCUACAGCCGAACCUUUUUCCUCAGCACACAUAUCACCUUGCUUCCGUGUGAAAGAGGGAGAUCAUGUUAUCAUUGGAUAGUGCAGGCCUUUGUCCAAGACUGUGAAGUUUAAUGUGUUAAAGGUGAUUCCAGCUGGUUCUGCUGGUGGUGGCAAGAAAGCAUUUACAGGAAUGUAAGCAGGGAUUUCUCGAGUUUAUUGUCACUUCUAGAGUAUGAAAAGUAAUCAUGUUUAAGACAGAAGGAGUGACGUUAAGAGUUCUCUACUAAAAGAACUUUGCAUUUGCCUUUGAAGGCUUACAUUUUUUAUGGAUACUCGCUGCUUAUCCUUAGUAAGGAUUUCAGAUUUCUGUUUCUCAAAGAAAUAAAAUUAUAGUUAAUUUGAGAUAAAAAGUGUUUGCUUAAUGAUUUUAUAUGAAUAAUAGAUGUUGAUUUUUCUUUAA